rnacentral:rRNA from 1 species
AUUGAACGCUGGCGGCAUGCCUUACACAUGCAAGUCGAACGGUAACAGGUCUUCGGAUGCUGACGAGUGGCGAACGGGUGAGUAAUACAUCGGAACGUGCCCGAUCGUGGGGGAUAACGAAGCGAAAGCUUUGCUAAUACCGCAUAAGAUCUACGGAUGAAAGCAGGGGACCGCAAGGCCUUGCGCGAACGGAGCGGCCGAUGGCAGAUUAGGUAGUUGGUGGAAUAAAAGCUUACCAAGCCGACGAUCUGUAGCUGGUCUGAGAGGACGACCAGCCACACUGGGACUGAGACACGGCCCAGACUCCUACGGGAGGCAGCAGUGGGGAAUUUUGGACAAUGGGCGAAAGCCUGAUCCAGCCAUGCCGCGUGCAGGAUGAAGGCCUUCGGGUUGUAAACUGCUUUUGUACGGAACGAAAAGACUCUUUCUAAUAAAGAGGGUCCAUGACGGUACCGUAAGAAUAAGCACCGGCUAACUACGUGCCAGCAGCCGCGGUAA